rnacentral:rRNA from 1 species
CUACGGGGGGCACCAGUGGGGAAUAUUGCACAAUGGGCGCAAGCCUGAUGCAGCCAUGCCGCGUGUAUGAAGAAGGCCUUCGGGUUGUAAAGUACUUUCAGCGGGGAGGAAGGGAGUAAAGUUAAUACCUUUGCUCAUUGACGUUACCCGCAGAAGAAGCACCGGCUAACUCCGUGCCAGCAGCCGCGGUAAUACGGAGGGUGCAAGCGUUAAUCGGAAUUACUGGGCGUAAAGCGCACGCAGGCGGUUUGUUAAGUCAGAUGUGAAAUCCCCGGGCUCAACCUGGGAACUGCAUCUGAUACUGGCAAGCUUGGGUCUCGUAGAGGGGGGUAGAAUACCAGGUGUAGCGGUGAAAUGCGUAGAGAUCUGGAGGAAUACCGGUGGCGAAGGCGGCCCCCUGGACGAAGACUGACGCUCAGGUGCGAAAGCGUGGGGAGCAAACAGGAUUAGAUACCCCAGUAGUC